UACGUAGGUGGCAAGCGUUGUCCGGAUUUAUUGGGCUUAAAGGGUGCGUAGGCGGCCCUGUAAGUCAGUGCUGAAAUAUCCCGGCUUAACCGGGAGGGUGGCAUUGAUACUGCGGGGCUAGAGUACAGAUGAGGUAGGCGGAAUUGACGGUGUAGCGGUGAAAUGCUUAGAUAUCGUCAAGAACACCUAUAGCGAAGGCAGCUUACUAGGCUGUAACUGACGCUGAGGCACGAAAGCCAGGGGAGCAAACGGG
rnacentral:rRNA from 1 species